CUGCCGCCAGAUGCAAGGCCGCUUCUAGCGGGGCUGCUCCGGGGGAAUGGGGCGGGUUUUGCGAGGGGCUUUAAGACACCCGCCCUAUUGUCUCCCUCCGCUUCCCCCCCAAAGCUGGAGACAGAGAUGGCUCCAACUCUUGUGGGGUACCCCCCCCCAAUGCUCCGGGGUGAACAGCUUUCAGCAAACAUGCUGGCUUGACUUGCGUGUGUGCCUCCGAAACUGUGGGGAUCGUGUACAUUUCAAAGCGACGGGAGUAUCAGAAUGGGACUGCCUGUCAGUGAUCUGUAAAGGAAAUGAAAGGCUGAAAAGUUGGUGGAAGAAGAUGAAAGAGAUUGCUCCCUCCCUUUGUCUACAGCCCCCAGACUGAGGCUCUCAGCUGCAGAAAUACAAAGUUCCCCAACUUGCAUUUCUUUCCUCACCCCACGAAAAAUAACUUGGUCUGUGUAGGGCAAUGAGUUUUCAUGGGCUUGCUCUGUAGUACAAUUCUCUAUGCCCAACCUGGUAAAUGGUGUGGGAUACCCUGUGAGCUACCAUAGCAUCAACUGAGGCUUUGAUCAUGGCCAUUUACGGGGCAAAGCAAAGAACUUCAGUGUCUACAGGGAAAGACUAGAGUCGAGUUACCAGGGACAUCUUUGGGGACACCUGCCCACUCUCUACUGGUCAGAAGAACAUAGGACCAUCUCAACUGAAUCUGAACAUCUAGUCAACUGGGAAUAAGAAUGGUAAUUCACACUAACAGAGAGUACUCCAGUUUUCAAAGUGGUUUCACAUGGUGUUUUAAGGAGGAAGAUACAAAAACAAUGCUCUAUUUACAGAGGACUUGAGGUUAAAGUCUGGUAUGAAAGUAGUAUUAACCCCAUUUUACAGUUAGGGAAACUGAGGCUGGGGGAAGUAACUUGCUCAAGGUUACCCAGAGAGGCUAAAAUCUGGGCCUCUUCUGGAACAAGGCUCUUUCCACCAAACUAUAAUCAUACAACAAACCCAGGUCUUCUGACUGGCCAGUCCCCCACACUGAGAUGGAGAGUGGAAUAUGGAAACAGGCACAAGGGAUUUGGAGAAGAUAGCCCAUGUAAAUGCAGGGCACCAUGGCUUUUCCCUGUCCUCUUCUCUCUUUGGGCUUUGGAUAUACCCAUCUGCCUACUGCCUCCAGAUGUCUUGGACAAUAACUACAUUUAUCCAUCUACCUAUUUAUCCAUCCAUCCAUCCUUUUGUCUUUUCAUUUAUCUACCUAUCCAUUUAUCUGUCUCUUCAUCUAUCCGUCCAUC